GUUAGGAAUCUUCCACAAUGGGGGCAACCCUGAUGGAGCAACACCGCGUGCUGGAUGAAGGCCUUCGGGUCGUAAACAGCUUUUGUAUACGAAGAAUAUGACGGUAAUAUACGAAUAAGGGUCGGCUAACUACGUGCCAGCAGCCGCGGUCAUACGUAGGACCCAAGCGUUAUCCGGAGUGACUGGGCGUAAAGAGUUGCGUAGGCGGCUUAUUAAGGGAGUAGUGAAAUCUGGUGGCUCAACCAUCAACACAUUGCUCGAACUGAUAGGCUUGAGAAUGGUAGAGGUAGUUGGAAUUUCUUGUGUAGGAGUGACAUCCGUAGAUAUAAGAAGGAACACCAAUGGCGUAGGCAGACUACUGGACCAUUUCUGACGCUGAGGCACGAAAGCGUGGGGAGCGAACAGGAUUAGAAACCCGGGUAGUCC
rnacentral:rRNA from 1 species